ensembl:misc_RNA 7SK 7SK RNA
GGAUGUGAGGGUGAUCUGACUGUGACAUCUGUCACCCCAUUGAUUGCCAGGGUUGAUUCGGCUGAUCUGGUUGGCUAGGAGGGGGUCCCCUUCCUCCCUCACCGCUCCAUAUGCGUCCCUCCCGAAGCUGCGUGUUGGGUGGAAGAGGAUGGCCUUCCCCCAAUAGAAAAGGUCAAGAGUAUAUGAGUAGCUGCACUGCAGCUAGAACCUGCAAACAAGCUCCCAAAUUGAGUCUUGGUGAAUGGUAAAGCACAUGCCCUAUCAAGGCAGCCAUCUUUG